rnacentral:pre_miRNA from 1 species
UCUCCAUUUCACGUGCUCUCUCACCGGUCAGAGAGGCGAGAAAGAGCGCGCAAUGAAGAGA